ACUGCAAGAAUAGCGAAAGAAUAACUGCUCGCUUGUGUUCAGAAAUGCCUGGCACGUAUCACGUAUUUAUGGUCCGGGUUAUUGGUGCAGCAUGCUGGAUUUGUGCAGAAUUGAUGACUAGCUGAAACACACUGGGCCUUGUUAGAGUCGUAGGCCCACAGCGGUGUGUGUUCUGGCAUGGUGAGCUGGACUGCUGACUGCGGCAGGUGUCUGGUGCCCGGGCUGAUCCUUGUGAUAGCUUCUCUCUUUGCAGGAAAUGGCAGACUUCAGGACCGGAGUCCUAAUAACCGGAGAUCUCCCGAGAGAUGCGCCUUGCAGUCUGUCGGGGGAAAGAGGUUUGCCAUGGCAACAGCCGACAACGGCCAACCAGAGCGGUCCAGGAAAAGCCAGGCGCCACCUAAAGCAUCUGUUGGUAGUGUACAAUCUGAAGAACCAGCUUUCAUAUUUAGCCACAGAAUGAAUGGGAGAACCAGGAAGAACAUAUUAUGUGGCGUGUUCCAGCUUGGCUUUGCAAAGAGCCAGUGAGUUGAUGCAGGAUCUGGGGCAGCUUAAAAAUGAGAUGAAGAGUCCACUGCAGUUGGCAGCUUAGACUCCUUGGGACUGGACUGCAUUACGGUCCUUGUCCUUCCAGACUGCUGAUGCGUUUCCUGUGCAGAAUGCCAAGUCGACCCAGAACAGCAGGAGCAGCAUCUCGCCCCCUCCGCCACGGCCCCGCCUCCUUCCACAACCCCCAUCUCCAUGAGACGUCCGUGAAGAGCAGAGGAUAAAGAAGACAGUUGAUGCCUGGAUCAAUACACUCAGCAAGGAGAUUCAGGAUGAGGAUUGUGGAGAGGAGCGAUGCUGCAGUCUCUAAAGUGGUGCAGCAGGGCCAGGGGAGCAGGAGCGGACGUGUGGCUGGUCCGAGAGGAAGAGGGGGAAGUGAAACCUCUGCAGCAGAUAAGAAAACCUCUCUGAGAGGCUCAGUUAGAGCGCAAGCAGCAAACACACUGGCACACUGCAAACAACCCGCUCUGUCUGUCAGAAGCAGACCUGAAGGGAAGCCAGAGUCGUGAGCUGGAUUAUAUCAGUGUUAUCUAAUGCAGUGCCAAAUGUGUUCAAACGAUGAACAGUAAACUCCUCUGAUGAUCUGUUUUAAUACCUAAUGAGCUGCCUACAUAGACAUCAUACUCCUGACUACUCCAGAUAGUAGGCUGUGAAAUAAGAUACCUCAUUUUGAUCAAAUUCAAAAUUUAUCCACAGCGCUGAUGGAUGGAAGAAAAAAGAAAAAGUCGUGACAUUUGCCAAGUAUGGUUACCCAUACUCAGAACUGGUGCUCUGCAUUUAACCCAUCCAGGUGCACACAUACAGCAGUGUGAAGUAAACACACCGUGAACACACACCUGGAGCAGUGGUCAGUUAUAGAUCCAGCACCCGGGGAGUAACUGGGGGUUCAGUGCCUUGCUCAAGGGACUUCAGUCAUGGGUACUGAGGGUGGAAGAGAGAGCUUUUCAUUCACUCCCUCCCACCUACAACUCCUGCUCGCACCGCGACUCAACCUUCUGGUAACUAGUCUGGCUCUCUAACCAUUAGACCACAUCUGCCCCUCUAAAAGAUGGCAGUGUCUUCAGACUGUUUUACUUGACAAAGCAUGUUUAAAAAUGUUGCUUGUAAGGGAUUUAGGAUGUCUGUGGAAAAUUUGAAGGAAAAACAAAUACACAAAAUGUAUGGUUUAGGAACACUAUUGGGAAAAAAUUAAAUGCAAUGAACCAUGAUUUUUAUUUGGUUAAAACAUAUCGCUCUAAUAGUGGAUAGAAAAAAAAUACACUUAAGACAUAAGAUAAAUAUAGUUCCAAUAAAUGUAUGUAUGUAUUAUUUAAUACAUAAAACAUUUAUUUAUUUAUUAGAUUUUUUUGCUUUUAAUUUACUAUGCAUGCAUGCAUCUAAGAAUCUACUGUAUAUUUAAUUUUCAAUUUAUUAUUAACAAUUAAUUAUUGCGAUUAACUAGAAUAGAAGUAUUAAAUGAUAGAUAGACAGACAGAGAGACAGAUUAUAUAUGUGUGUGUGUGUGUGUAUAUAUUGAAGGGUUGUGAGUUCGAGUCUCGGGCCGGCAGGAAUUGUAGGUGGUGGAGUGCAUGUACAGUUUUCUCCACCCUCAAUACCACGACUUGGGUGCCUUUGAGCAAGGCAUUGAACCCCCAACUGCUCCUUGGGCGCCGCUGCACACUGCUCCGUGUGUGUGUGUGUGUGUACGCACGCACGCACUUCGGAUGGGGUAAAUGCAGAGCACGAUUUCUGAGUAUGGGUCACCAUACUUGGCUGAAUGUCAUGUCACUUUCACUAUUGUUAGCUAAAACAUGAACAUUAGAAAUAAACCAGAUUGUCAUAAUCACUUAAAUUUAAGCAUAUUUAUUAUUAAAUAUAAUAAUAAAUUGUUGAAUUCCUUUCAGCUUUACAACAGACAGCUAUUAUUUGCUGAUACCAUAUAAAAAUAAGAAUAUAAGAACAAUAAAAAUAUAAGAUCAUGGCAUUAAAAAGUAAAAAAAAAAAACAAAAAAAAACAGACUUGCUGUAUGAGGCCUCAUUUUGGUUUGGAUGCUGCCUAUGUAGGCAGUAGAUUAUGAUUAUAAUACACUAGAGCUUUAUAAUUGGCUAUUUGGCUGUGGUCCAAAUCAUCUGUCUGUUCUAUUGAAACUGAUGUGAACUGUAGGAUCUGCUAACCUGUUUGUUUGCAGUGUUUAUUCCUGUAUGUGUUGUUGACUUAGCACCGUGACCUGACAAGCUCACAACACUCCCAAUAUGGCCCAUCUGGAUGUAAACACUGUAGCUCAAUACAUCUCUGUGUCUCAGUGGCAUUUCCUCUAAAUGAGCCGCUUUGAGUACCCAUAUGUUGCCAGGACACUAAUUUGCUAAAUAUAAAGAGCGAGAAGACGAGAGGCAGGCCUGUGUUAUCUGUGUUUGGCACAAGCCUGGUCCUGUUAAUGGCCGUCCAUGUUGCCUGGUGUUUGUGUGGAUGUUUCUAACCUAGCAACACUUCCAGUGGUUAUCUGAAGGUUACUGUGUGUGGAGGCCGUUCAAGCAUUUAAUUGCUUACAAAAGGUUGAGUGUUAUUUUGCUGGAGACACUCUCAGGUUUGUCAUGAGCUUUAGAUGAAACUAGAUGAAAUCCAUAUGGCAAUACCUCACUUUACAUAAGCGAAGUUAUCAUUUUCUACUUUUCAAACAUACUGUAGAUAUGAGUGUUUGUGGUUGUGAAACCCGUUAUUUUAAACUGUAAUAAAAUGUCAUGAUAUUGUUUUGUUGUUGUUGUUGUUUUUACUGUAAUUUUGUUCUAAUAAAUGCAGCUUUGGUGAAUGGAAGUGGCUUCUUUC